rnacentral:rRNA from 1 species
UUGGAGGGCAAGUCUGGUGCCAGCAGCCGCGGUAAUUCCAGCUCCGAUAGCGUAUAUUAAAGUUGUUGCAGUUAAAAAGCUCGUAGUUGAAUUUCGGGAUUAGUACGCUGGUCGUGCCUUCGGUACGUACUGGUGUUACUGAUUUCUACCUUCUGACGAACCAUCAUGUCAUUAAUUUGGUGUGGUGGGGAAUCAGGACUGUUACUUUGAAAAAAUUAGAGUGUUUAAAGCAGGCUCGCGCUUGAAUACAUUAGCAUGGAAUAAUGAAAUAGGACGUUGAUCCUAUUUUGUUGGUUUCUAGGAUUGACGUAAUGAUUAAUAGGGAUAGUUGGGGGCAUUAGUAUUCAAUUGUCAGAGGUGAAAUUCUUGGAUUUAUUGAAGACUAACUACUGCGAAAGCAUUUGCCAAGGAUGUUUUCAUUAAUCAAGAACGAAAGUUAGGGGAUCGAAGACGAUCAGAUACCGUCGUAGUCUUAACCAUAAACUAUGCCAACUAGGGAUCGGAUGAUGUUAUUUUUAAUGACUCAUUCGGCGCCUUACGGGAAAC